rnacentral:misc_RNA from 1 species
CAAAUUGGAAGGAAUGUUCAAGGAUAUUGAAUUGUCAAAAGAGAUAAAUGAAUCCUUUAAGCAAUCUUCUCAAGCCAGGAAAAAACUCCCAACAGGAAUUGAGAUGAGUGUUCAUGUAUUAACCACAGGGUACUGGCCAACUUAUCCGCCCAUGGAUGUUCGGCUUCCCCAUGAACUCAAUAUCUAUCAGGAUAUUUUCAAGGAAUUCUACUUGAGCAAAUACAGCGGUAGGCGGUUGAUGUGGCAAAAUUCUUUGGGACAUUGUGUUCUAAAAGCAGAGUUUCCCAAGGGUAAAAAAGAGCUGGCAGUGUCUCUGUUUCAGGCUGUUGUUUUAAUGCUUUUUAAUGAUGCGGAAAAGCUUAGCUUUCUAGAUAUGAUGGAAGCAACUCGAAUUGAGGAUAAAGAGCUCAGGAGAACUUUACAGUCUCUUGCAUGUGGUAAAGUUCGUGUUCUCCAGAAGAUUCCAAAAGGAAGAGAUGUGGAAG